CCGAAGAGUUAGCAAGUGGGCGACGCUGCGAUGCUAACCCAAAGCUAAGCUCGUCUGUGUUUUUACAGCACAUUAGUACAACGACGGAAGGAUUUCCUCAACUUUUGCUCACUUGGCGACGUCGAUCUUCACCUCAACCAUCAGCUUGGACGGGAAAUAACUGGGGUGAAACUGUCCCCCGGUGAUGGAUGGUCAAGGCCAGCCGAGGGCACAUAUUAAUAGUGACGUCACACUUUCCCUCUUUCUGAUUGGUUGACAAUCCCCGCUCCCUGCGCACGUUUGUCGUUUCCCCUCGGGCCCAUUAUCAGAUUCCCAGCGCAGGAUCCCGGCAGCUGCGGUUAUUGUGGAAGACUACGUUUAUAGCCCCAUGAUGUCUGUGACAACACCGGCUUUUAUGAUGGAUGGAGCGUACCUGUCACGACCGAGUAGCUCUGGGAGACGCUGGAGGCCAGGUCGGAGCUGCCGCUGCUGGAG